ensembl:lincRNA
AUGAGAGUUGAGCCAGAGGAACCCAGGGUGUGCUUUGAUGCCUCCUGGAUGUGCCAGCCAGCACCUCCUCCGUCUCCUGCAGUGCCCAUGGGAAGGCUGACCCCCCCCCCAGUCACAGCCACACAGAGGCAGGCAGGACAAAGUUGUGUGUGUACGGGGUGUCUGCUCUCAGGCUCCCGAAUGAGCCUGGGUCUCUACUGGCCUCUGGGCCUGCGAGCACCAUGGCUCCACCUCCCCAUACCCUCCUUACUCCACUUUCCCUUCCCCCUUAGGUUCGAACGAUACAGGUCAGGCCGAUCUGCUCAAAAUGCCACUAAUGGGGUGCUGAGCGAAGUGACAGAGGACAACCUCAUAGACCUGGGCCCAGGGUCUCCAGCCGUGGUGAGCCCGACUGUGGGGAGCACAGCACCCCCAUCUUCCCUUUCCUCCCAGCUCGCCGGCUUGGACCUGGGUACGGAGAGUGUCAGCGGCACCCUGAGCUCGCUGCAGCAGUGCCAGCCCCAGGAUAGCUUCGAUGUGUUCGCCCAGACCAGAGGGAGUGCCUCGGCUGAGCAGCGCAACCCGCCCACCUACGAGGACCCCCAGGCUAUUGGAGUACCUGCUGUGGCAGCUGAUGGUCGGAAACAGAGCUCCGAAGUGAUCCCCGUGGUGCAGCCCUCGGUCAUGGACGACAUUGAGGUGUGGCUCAGGACCGACCUGGUGAGACUCCACGUUUCUGUCUUGAUGGGGGGGGCGGGGCCGGGGGCGUGGCCCCUUGGGGGGGGCCGGGGGGCCCAGGGGGCUGCUCCCUGGGGAGUGGAGGAGGGAGGCUGGGCAGGCGCCUCCAGGAUGCACCCUGACUUUUCCCAGUCACUCUGUGAUUCCAGGUGUGUGCUCUUGGAUUCUUCUGGUUUUUGUGCAUUUUUUAAUUUUAAUUUUUUUGGUUUUCAUUUUUUUCUUUUAAUUGUGAAAUUUUCACAGUUGUGAGUGGGUGUUUAUUUUUCCGUCAUUGUCAUCACCCUUCCCCAGCGUAGCCUGGCAUCUUGGCUUUACUGGCCCCAGAGGCCACUGUCUUUGCCUCCAGAGAUGGGCAGGGAGGUUAGGAUGUCAUGCAUCUCCCCAUGGCAGCAGGUUCUGAGAGGGGAGGCUGCGUUGGCCCGUCCCCCGCCCCGCCCCUGUGCUGGCCCCCUGCCAAGCACUGUUAUCCCCUGGGGGGCUGUUGGAGAAAUGCACCAUGGAAAGGGGUGCUUGCCCACAUCAUGGCUGACGGGACUGGGUACACCUGAUCUCCUGUUUCUUGUCGCCUCCUGUCAGGCCCCCAACUAGGAGGGUAGACCUUAGGAGGAUCUUCUGCCGCUCCGGGCCAGCACACACCCACCCAACCCCAAAGACAGGCUUUCCAGAGGCACUCUCUACCCCUCGAGCUGCUGCCUGGGGGCCAUGCCAGGAGGGAAGAGGCACCCAUUAGGUCCUUCCCAAGAGAACGCCUGGCCCCCUACCUCACAAGGGGGACCUGCACUCGAGGGCAGAUCAGGGGUGGAAGCAGGAAGGAGGCUGGGGCCAUGUCCACCACCCAUCACUGUCUGUGCAGGGCCCAGUGACCUCCACAUCCCCCAAACAGAACUGACUGCCCAGAGCGUCCUCAGUGUCUGAAUCAGGGCACGGGAAGAGACUGGCGCUGCUCCUAGGAGGGUGGGGCUCAGCCAACCCCCUGCUGGGGUGCCUUGGGGUCAAGCCCCCAUGUCUCCAGGCCUCACACGGUUCCAGCUGCUGGCGUGGCCUUGACCACCCAGUGCCAUGCAGCUGCCCGUGAGUGUCCGCGGAGUGGAGGGGCACCCGGAGCCCGGCCUCUCCCGGCUCUUCUGUGGUCCUGCCCUGAGUUUUAGCAGGGAAGGAGCUGCACAGUUCAGUUUUUUCUUUCUGACCUUUCUGGAGGAUCUAGAGCCUCCUCAGCUUUUUGGUUUUACUUUUUAAAAACAAAAGUUUCUGUUUCUCCAAUAAGAUGAGAGCAGUAUUAUGCUCUUGCAGAACUCAGGAUGGGAAGUAGGAAGUGUCACUAGGUGUUGCCCUGGGGGGUGGGCUGCGGGCGAGAGCGGCCAUGGACAGCACUAACACCCUCUCUCCGCUCUCCCACAGAAGGGUGAUGACUUGGAGGAGGGCGUCACGAGCGAAGGUAGGCCUGCCUCCGACCCACUGUGGCUGUGCCCUUCCCAGGCUCUGAGAGCCUCCUUGCCGCCCUGGCACCUCCCCGCUCCUGGGCUCUGUCCAUCCAGGUCACCUGCUGACGUGGGAGGUGCCAGCAGGCACAAUCGGCCAUCCCAGGUCCAUGGGACCCCAGACCGGUGGCACUGCUGACUGGUCUGCCCCCCACCUCCGGAUGGUCAUUGUAGCCGAGACAAAACACAUGCCAUGCAGUCAGCACAGCGGGUGCCGGUCUGGGGCCCUCUGUAGGCCCUGAGCCCUGCCGGGGUUGGGGUCCCUGCCAAGGUCAAGGAGGAAGUUGCCCCUCCAGCUCUUCCUGCCUUGCCACCAAAGCCGAUCUGGAUGAUGGAAAAGCACCAAGUCAGUGGUGGGGCAAGAGUCAUAGCUGCCCGCUUCCCUCACGCCCCCUGGGUUGUGGCUGGGCUUCCCGCCUGCCCUGGUGGUGUCAGAGGAAGAAAGGGGCCCUCCCCUGUGGGAUCAGGCGUGGCAGCUGAGCCCCUACCUAUCCCUGCUGAGCCUUGUUCUGUGUUGCAGAGUUCGAUAAAUUCCUUGAAGAAAGGGCCAAAGCUGCUGAAAUGGUUCCCAGCCUCCCCUCUCCCCCAGCGGACACUCCAGCCCCAGCCUCGAAUCCCUCAGGCCGGAAGAAGCCAGAGCGGUCAGAGGAUGCCCUCUUUGCUCUGUGAGCUGUCCUGUGGUUGGGCCCCCCCAUGGCAGGUCACCUCUCACCCCUGGUCCACACCAGGCUCUGGCCACUUCUCCCAUCCCCCGCCCCUACUUGGUCCUGCGCUGCUGUGUCUCCAUGGAAACACCACUGUGUUUGCUCCCAGGCCUCCCACUCGUUGGGCCCAGCUUUAGCCACCUUUUCUUUGAGAGGUGGGACAAUGUCGCUGCAGCUGCAGACCCUCAGCCUCUGCCCUCCUGCUCCCUCUGCCUAUUUCCUCCAGGAAAAGCUGGUGGGGUCUGCCCCCCCCCCCCCCCCCGCCCCCCCUGUACGCGC